AACGAACGCUGGCGGCAUGCCUAACACAUGCAAGUCGAACGAGACCUUCGGGUCUAGUGGCGCACGGGUGCGUAACGCGUGGGAACCUGCCCUUAGGUUCGGAAUAACUCCCCGAAAGGGGUGCCAAUACCGGAUAAUGUCUUCGGACCAAAGAUUUAUCGCCUUUGGAUGGGCCCGCGUUGGAUUAGCUAGUUGGUAGGGUAAAAGCCUACCAAGGCGACGAUCCAUAGCUGGUCUGAGAGGAUGAUCAGCCACACUGGGACUGAGACACGGCCCAGACUCCUACGGGAGGCAGCAGUGGGGAAUAUUGGACAAUGGGCGAAAGCCUGAUCCGGCAAUGCCGCGUGAGUGAUGAAGGCCUUAGGGUUGUAAAGCUCUUUUACCCGGGAUGAUAAUGACAGUACCGGGAGAAUAAGCUCCGGCUAACUCCGUG
rnacentral:rRNA from 1 species